rnacentral:rRNA from 1 species
CUGACGAGUGGCGGACGGGUGAGUAAUGCUUGGGAAUCUGGCUUAUGGAGGGGGAUAACGACGGGAAACUGUCGCUAAUACCGCGUAUUAUCGGAAGAUGAAAGUGCGGGACUGAGAGGCCGCAUGCCAUAGGAUGAGCCCAAGUGGGAUUAGGUAGUUGGUGGGGUAAAGGCCUACCAAGCCUGCGAUCUCUAGCUGGUCUGAGAGGAUGACCAGCCACACUGGAACUGAGACACGGUCCAGACUCCUACGGGAGGCAGCAGUGGGGAAUAUUGCGCAAUGGGGGGAACCCUGACGCAGCCAUGCCGCGUGAAUGAAGAAGGCCUUAGGGUUGUAAAGUUCUUUCGGUAUUGAGGAAGGUUGAUGUGUUAAUAGCACAUCAAAUUGACGUUAAAUACAGAAGAAGCACCGGCUAACUCCGUGCCAGCAGCCGCGGUAAUACGGAGGGUGCGAGCGUUAAUCGGAAUAACUGGGCGUAAAGGGCACGCAGGCGGUUAUUUAAGUGAGGUGUGAAAGCCCUGGGCUUAACCUAGGAAUUGCAUUUCAGACUGGGUAACUAGAGUACUUUAGGGAGGGGUAGAAUUCCACGUGUAGCGGU